rnacentral:pre_miRNA from 1 species
CGGCCCCGGGGCUGCUUUUGGCAAUGGUAGAACUCACACUGGUGCGGUAGCAGGAUCCGGUGGUUCUAGACUUGCCAACUACAGCCCCGGGGGAG